CCGUACCACACAAAAGACGGCAGCUCAGCGCGCUGAUUUUGUCUUUCUAAAGAUGGUGGCAUCAUGCACACGCACCUUUGGGUGUAAGGACCAAACAGGGUGCUCAGAAGGACUCCACUUCUCAGAAAGGCGUUUUUUCGGUGGCCUGAAGCCGACGCCUAUUUCGACGCUGACCCGGCGCUUUCAGCGCGAUUUUCCGUGGCGUUUCCCGGUGUAGGGACACAAGCGGCAGGGUCAGCAGCGCCGGGCAGGAGCUGCGCGUGCGGUGGCAGGCAGCGGCGGGGACGUCUCUGUUCUGGUCGUGCCGCGCCGCGCCUGACGAGGACCCCGCGACGCUGCGCGGUGCCAGACCGUGCUCCUGGCCACACCCCACCCCCGGCCCGGGGAAAUCCAUCAAGACUCAAAAUGGUCAGAAAAUAAUAGUUACUAGAGCUGCCUUUGCCAUCCCCCUGCUCCCCAUAAGGGCAGUAGCUGUGCAGAGACGGGAGUACACAGCAAGGAUGCAGCUCCUCUUUCCCAGGAGAACCUAUCCUUGGUCAUUCCUGCGGUUUUCAGGGAGUAAAAAUGCCCUCGGGGAUUUGCUACUGGGACCAGCGAUCCAUUUUCUGAGAGGAGUCCUUGAAACAGACCUGUAAGAAAUGAGGACACUGCAGCUGGAACAGUGGGAAUGGACAGUCCAUAGUGAAUUCUGUCCGGGCUAAGUUGGUGUUCCCUGAAUUGGUUGCGGAGUUAGGGCGUCCAAAGGAUCAUGGCAAGCGUGGCACUGACAAAGUCAGGAUGAAAUGGUUCUCAAGAAACUCAACCUUCUGAAACAUUUGUCAAGAUAAAGCCAUACAGGAAUGACCUUGGCAGAAAAGGCCCCGUGAAGAAAGGCAGCAGGAGAACAGCGUUGAACAGAAACACUAAGGAAUUGCUGCUGGCUCCCGGUGUCCUGGUUUUUUCAGGCAGGUUUUCUAUUGAAUUGAAAGGCAGUGUUCUUGCCUCUGCAAGGCACCUGCAUCCUACCAGAAGGAGAAAGUGUGGAGCAGCAAGUGGGAGGAAGGACCAGUUUUAGACCUGCCCUUGGAUUCCAGUUCCUCAUGGAGGGUCUGUGCUGCCUGAAGUACCAACGAAGUAAAUCCUGGAGUACCUGUUUGUUCACCUGUUGAGCUUGGAAGACACAUACUGGACAUGAAAUUCCAGGGAAGCUGCACUUGCAGUAGUGGCUGGAGCAAGAAGCAGUGGAAGCUGUUUGCUAUGUGUUUGUUCCCCACCCUUACCUCGGUUUCCUGGGGCCCCAGCCCCUACGUGGAUUAAUCAACUUUUCCGAGCUGAUUAAUGGUUUGACAGAAGAACUGCCUGGAGAGCAGCUGAAUUCCCACAGCAAAAUUCCUGACUGAGGGAAACAACCUUGGGUUCCUCCCCUUCCUGUAAAGCCUGGGAAAUCUGGGAAAAUCACAGCUCCAAAGGAGCUGCUCCCCUCGCCCCCGGAUUCAAAGAGAAAUGGAGAAACACUCAAGGAAGUUUUGAGAUAAAACCACUGCAGAGAAAAUUGAAAUGAGCCCUUCGGCCCUUUUUUUGUGCGGUAUUUAGGAUACAAGGGAAAGAAGGGCUGGGUAAUCCCUGGGAUUAGGGAACAGCACGGCUGAGGUCCCAGAUUUCGAGGCCAGGUAAUGGCUGGAACAAAACAUUAAUAUGGACUUUGUCUUUAAAAGCAAAAGCUUUGAAAAUUAGGAAUAGAACAGAAACUCGCAUUAAUUCAGGACUGUACAGAGCCUAAAGCCUCCUUAGGUUUUCAGCUCAAAGCAACUUUCUUUUUCAUGGGGCCAUAAACAGAUUUUUUCUGGCUUUUUAAAGCUGUUUCCUCUACUAAAAUCCAUUCAGCUGUCAAUCCAUCCUCCCUCAGAAGGUGUCAGUGCAAUCUACCUUAAAUUUAAAAAAAAGCCCAGGGAAGAAGAUCUUAUCUCCCAGAUGGAGAAUGGGACAGGAGGAGUAAUAAAAGUGAAAGUGAUUCACCAGGACU